AUUCAGAUGACGAGUCCCAAACAGGACGAAAUGCGCGUCCUGGAU
rnacentral:hammerhead_ribozyme from 1 species